GCGUCCGGCUUGCGCGCCAGCAUGGCGUUGCCGACCGCGUGCAUCAGGUGGGUCUUGCCCAGACCCACACCACCGU
rnacentral:antisense_RNA from 1 species